rnacentral:rRNA from 1 species
CACAUGCAGUCGAGCGGUAGAGAGAAGCUUGCUUCUCUUGAGAGCGGCGGACGGGUGAGUAAUGCCUAGGAAUCUGCCUGGUAGUGGGGGAUAACGUUCGGAAACGGACGCUAAUACCGCAUACGUCCUACGGGAGAAAGCAGGGGACCUUCGGGCCUUGCGCUAUCAGAUGAGCCUAGGUCGGAUUAGCUAGUUGGUGAGGUAAUGGCUCACCAAGGCGACGAUCCGUAACUGGUCUGAGAGGAUGAUCAGUCACACUGGAACUGAGACACGGUCCAGACUCCUACGGGAGGCAGCAGUGGGGAAUAUUGGACAAUGGGCGAAAGCCUGAUCCAGCCAUGCCGCGUGUGUGAAGAAGGUCUUCGGAUUGUAAAGCACUUUAAGUUGGGAGGAAGGGCAGUUACCUAAUACGUGAUUGUUUUGACGUUACCGACAGAAUAAGCACCGGCUAACUCUGUGCCAGCAGCCGCGGUAAUACAGAGGGUGCAAGCGUUAAUCGGAAUUACUGGGCGUAAAGCGCGCGUAGGUGGUUAGUUAAGUUGGAUGUGAAAUCCCCGGGCUCAACCUGGGAACUGCAUUCAAAACUGACUGACUAGAGUAUGGUAGAGGGUGGUGGAAUUUCCUGUGUAGCGGUGAAAUGCGUAGAUAUAGGAAGGAACACCAGUGGC